rnacentral:rRNA from 1 species
GAAUACAUAGGUUAACGAGGCGAACCGGGGGAACUGAAACAUCUAAGUACCCCGAGGAAAAGAAAUCAACCGAGAUUCCCCCAGUAGCGGCGAGCGAACGGGGAGCAGCCCAGAGUCUGAAUCAGCUUGUGUGUUAGUGGAACGGUCUGGAAAGUCCGACGGUACAGGGUGAUAGUCCCGUACACCAAAAUGCACAGGCUGUGAACUCGAAGAGUAGGGCGGGACACGUGGUAUCCUGUCUGAAUAUGGGGGGACCAUCCUCCAAGGCUAAAUACUCCUGACUGACCGAUAGUGAACCAGUACCGUGAGGGAAAGGCGAAAAGAACCCCGGCGAGGGGAGUGAAAAAGAACCUGAAACCGUGUACGUACAAGCAGUGGGAGCACCUUCGGGUGUGACUGCGUACCUUUUGUAUAAUGGGUCAGCGACUUAUAUUCUGUAGCAAGGUUAACCGUAUAGGGGAGCCGCAGGGAAACCGAGUCUUAACUGGGCGUUAAGUUGCAGGGUAUAGACCCGAAACCCGGUGAUCUAGCCAUGGGCAGGUUGAAGGUUGGGUAACACUAACUGGAGGACCGAACCGACUAAUGUUGAAAAAUUAGCGGAUGACUUGUGGCUGGGGGUGAAAGGCCAAUCAAACCGGGAGAUAGCUGGUUCUCCCCGAAAGCUAUUUAGGUAGCGCCUCGUGAAUUCAUCUUCGGGGGUAGAGCACUGUUUCGGCUAGGGGGUCAUCCCGACUUACCAACCCGAUGCAAACUACGAAUACCGAAGAAUGUUAUCACGGGAGACACACGGCGGGUGCUAACGUCCGUCGUGAAGAGGGAAACAACCCAGACCGCCAGCUAAGGUCCCAAAGUCAUGGUUAAGUGGGAAACGAUGUGGGAAGGCACAGACAGCCAGGAUGUUGGCUUAGAAGCAGCCAUCAUUUAAAGAAAGCGUAAUAGCUCACUGGUCGAGUCGGCCUGCGCGGAAGAUGUAACGGGGCUAAACCAUGCACCGAAGCUGCGGCAGCGACACUAUGUGUUGUUGGGUAGGGGAGCGUUCUGUAAGCCUGCGAAGGUG